CACCAGCCCCUCGAGUGGUGGGGAUGAUUAUUUGGCCUAAAGCGUCCGUAGCCGGCCGGGUAAGUUUCCCGUUAAAUCCAACGUCUCAAGCGUUGGACUGCGGGAAGUACUGCCUGGCUAGAGAGUGGGAGAGGUCAGCGGUAUUCUGGGGGUAGGGGCGAAAUCCUUUGAUCCCCGGAGGACCACCAGUGGCGAAGGCUGCUGACUAGAACACGUCUGACGGUCAGGGACGAAAGCUGGGGUAGCGAACCGGAUUAGAUACCCGGGUAGUCCCAGCCGUAAACGAUGCAUGCUAGGUGUUGGGUUGGCCACGAGCCACCCCAGUGCCGCAGGGAAGCCGUUAAGCAUGCCGCCUGGGAAGUACGAUCGCAAGAUUGAAACUUAAAGGAAUUGGCGGGGGAGCACCACCUGGCGUGAAGCCUGCGGUUU
rnacentral:rRNA from 1 species